UACGGAGGGGACUAGCGUUGUUCGGAAUUCCUGGGCGUAAAGCGCACGUAGGCGGAUUUGUAAGUCAGGGGUGAAAUCCCGGGGCUCAACCUCGGAACUGCCUUUGAUACUGCAAAUCUCGAGUCCGGAAGAGGUGAGUGGAAUUCCUAGUGUAGAGGUGAAAUUCGUAGAUAUUAGGAAGAACACCAGUGGCGAAGGCGGCUCACUGGUCCGGUACUGACGCUGAGGUGCGAAAGCGUGGGGAGCAAACAGG
rnacentral:rRNA from 1 species